AGGUUUUGCUGAGGACAAUAACGUGGUUCUUUUUUGGACAGUUGAUGGCCCUGUCAUGUUACAGCUUGAGUCACUACAGUCUGAGAAAGUCUUGGGAACCAAAAUCAUGGCUCACUAUCACUCAUUUGAAAGUGUUUAUACUACAGAAAGAGGAAUUGGUGGUCCUGAAGCUGAUCUUUUGCACAACACCUGAGAUUCUUGUCCAGUUAGAUAUGCUAUUGUGAUUUACUGGUUACGCAGGUGUCUGGAAUUACAGUCCGGUGGCAGAUGCAGAAAUGGCUUUUUUGCUGUAGGUUCUUCCAUUUUAUAUGCUGUGUUGGUGCUGGCAUUAUUCAUUAGUCAACUGGCAUGAAGACACGUUUCGCUUGUUUGUGUUGGCGCU